CCUACGGGAGGCAGCAGUAGGGAAUUUUCCACAAUGGGCGCAAGCCUGAUGGAGCAACACCGCGUGAGUGAAGAAGGGUUUCGGCUCGUAAAGCUCUGUUGUUGGAGAAGAACGUGCGUGAGAGUAACUGUUCACGCAGUGACGGUAUCCAACCAGAAAGUCACGGCUAACUACGUGCCAGCCGCCGCGGUAAUACGUAGGUGGCAAGCGUUAUCCGGAUUGAUUGGGCGUCAAGCGAGCGCAGGCGGUUGUUUAGGUCUGAUGUGAAAGCCUUCGGCUUAACCGAAGAAGUGCAUCGGAAACCGGGCGACUUGAGUGCAGAAGAGGACAGUGGAACUCCAUGUGUAGCGGUGAAAUGCGUAGAUAUUUGGAAGAACACCAGUGGCGAAGGCGGCUGUCUGGUCUGCAACUGACGCUGAGGCUCGAAAGCAUGGGUAGCGAACAGGAUUAGAUACCCCUGUAGUC
rnacentral:rRNA from 1 species